rnacentral:lncRNA from 1 species
AGGUGGAGAGUCUGUUGAAUUUUGUUUUAUAACAUUUUAUCUUUAUUAAUAUCAAAAGAGGUUUAACAUAAUACAAGAAUAGAAACAUACAACAAAUACAUUUUUAAAUUGAACAUGAUAAUAGAAAAGUAAUAACACGAUGCUUCCUAACUCUUUUGCAGAAUAGACUAAUUCACUAACUUUAUCUAUUUUUGUUCUCGGUCUUAAAUGAUCUUGUGUUCGGCUGUCAUCUAUUGUGAUCCAUCGCCUUAUGUCACUUAAUAGAUCAGUGGGUGCGAUCUAUUUGUCAC